rnacentral:rRNA from 1 species
UCCUACGGGAGGCAGCAGUGAGGAAUAUUGGUCAAUGGGCGAGAGCCUGAACCAGCCAAGUCGCGUGAGGGAAGACGGUCCUAUGGAUUGUAAACCUCUUUUGUCGGGGAGCGACGGGGCAGUGUUGUGCCCUCUGAGAGUACCCGAAGAAAAAGCAUCGGCUAACUCCGUGCCAGCAGCCGCGGUAAUACGGAGGAUGCGAGCGUUAUCCGGAUUUAUUGGGUUUAAAGGGUGCGUAGGCCGAAGAUUAAGUCAGUGGUAAAAUUGCGGGGUUCAACAUCGUAUGGCCAUUGAAAUUGGUUUUU